GUUUAAUAUUUCAUUUUGCAGAACAGAAUGUUGCUUCUCUGACUUAUUUUAAUAGUUUUAAUAUAGUGUAUUGUUGAAAGUGCAUCAGCCACCACCCUAAAGAUGGCGCCUAGUACAGAAGGAGGUUGACCCUGCCAGUCCCGUGACCUAUCUACAGUCACGGUUGCUUCUAAAGUAACGUCACUUCCGCCCUUACCAUGCCCACACCUCCUGUCUUCCUUUCCC